rnacentral:lncRNA from 1 species
AAAUUAAAAAAUCUCUUUAUUCAUAUUAGCUCAAUAUUAAUAUAAUAUUAGGUUCACCUUGGAGUCAAAGAUAAAUGAAAUAAUUGGCGAAAUUUGAGAAUAAUUAAAAAGUGAGAAACCAUGCUACAACAGCUACGACCAUCUUGAAAUACAUUUCUUGUGAAAACCCAAGUCUGCUCUGGCGGCGGUUAUAAUCUUGCACAUUUUAAUCCUCAGCCACAUCCUUAUACAGACACAGCCAAGCAUGCAAGACUCAGCUUUUUCUCUCUGUGAAUCAUGCAUAACAGAUUAGCGUAUUUAAAGUUUUGCAUACAUAACCUGAAUAUGUCAUUAAUUUUCAUACAUUUUCAACUUGCAUUUUCUGAGUAACAAAAUGCUUCCAGAGAUUAAAUGUAAAUAUUGACAUCCUUUACAGUUAUGAAUUAAACCUAAAAUGUAACAGUAAUCCUUACAGUGAACCCUGGAAGGAAACACCGCAGGACUUCGCCAAAGCCAUAUGCUGGUGAGACAUCACAGCCAGAUCUCCUGAGCACGAGCCCUCCUUUAUAAUGCUCAACUUGGAGGUGGUCAAAUCAAAUGUAUUUUCGUGGGAUGGACUGGGAUUUGGGAGCUAGUGGAUGCAAACUCUUCUGUUGAAAAUGGAUAAGCCAUGAGGUCCUGCUGUACAGCACGGGGAACCCUAUCCAGUCUCUUGGGAUAGACCAUGAUGGAAGAUAAGAUGAGAAAAAGAAUGUAUAUGUAUGUAUACUGGGUCACGUUGCUGUACAGCAGAAAUGGACAGAACACUGUAAAUCAACUACAAGGAAAAAACCUUCGAAUGAUCAAAUAUAUUUUCUAGGGUUUUCCUCAACAAUACGUGUCUUUGUCAAGGGGGAUAAAUCCACCAGGAAAUUCAUUACCCUCAGCUCGGAACAUCACUAAGGAAUAGCAUCAUUUUAUCAGGCGCUGAGUGCAGGCACUUGCUUCCCUGAGAAAGGCAUUAUUGUCAUUCCAUUUAAGUCCUCUCACCCAUCUUUCACCCCUUCCACCACUGUGGGGUCACCUUCAGCUGCAACCACGAAGGCGGUGACGCUGCUGUAACCAUCGUGAACUCAGACUUGAAUCUGUGCCAGGUUGCGACUCUCUCUGGCCUCCCUGCGCUGUGGCUUUCCUGCUUCCUGGUAACUUUCCCAUCUCAUCAUUUUACAUUUCCAGUCCUCAGAGAACUUCAAAACAUCUACUGACUUUAAAAAAAAAUCAACCUGGAAGCAUCUGGAAGGCAAUGUGUUGAUUCUAAAAGUGGAAUUAGCCACACUGGAAUUUUUUUUUUUUUUUAAACAGCGGCUUCUCAUCUGAUUUGAUCUGCAUGUAACCCCGACAAAAUGUCUAACAUUUCAAAGAUAAAUUAUGGAGUUCCUGUCAUGGCUCAGUGGUUAGCAAACCCGACUGGCAUCCAUGAGGACACGGGUUGGAUCCCUGGCCUUGCUCAGUGGGUUAAGGAUACGGUGUUGCUGUGGCUGUGGUGUAGGGUGGCAGCUGCAGCUCUGAUUUGAUCCCUAGCCUGGGAACCUGCCUGUGCUGCGGGUGCAGCCCUAUAAAGACAAAAGAAAAAGACAAAAACAGCAACAGCAAAAUGAUAAAUUAACAAUUUUUACUACCAAGGUAAAUAUUUGCUUCUCAUGCAUUCUGUUCACUUUUAAUUUCCUAUUUACAGAUAUUAUUUUAAAAACAUCCAUCCUAAUUUCCUUCAAAAUAAGAAGGAUGGGCUGGACUGGCAAUGGCUGGAUGGCUCUGGGGACUGCUGACAGGAAUGCGGUGGUUUGGGAUCCUGUACUGCUUCUGAGUAUGGGGUAAAAUGUCCCUGACUUAAAAAAUAGAAAAGGAGUUCCCAUCGUGGCAGUGGUUAAUGAAUCCGACUGGGAACCAUGAGGUUGCGGGUUCGGUCCCUGCCCUUGCUCAGUGGGUUAACGAUCCGGCGUUGCCGUGAGCUGUGGUGUAGGUUGCAGACGCAGCUCGAAUCCCGCGUUGCUGUGGCUCUGGCGUAGGCCGUACAGCUCCGAUUUGACCCCUAGCCUGGGAACCUCCAUAUGCCGCGGGAGCGGCCCAAAGAAAUAGAAAAAAGACAAAAAAAAAAAAAAAGAAAAAACUGUAAUGCCCAAGUGAUGGCACUGCUGUACAAUGAGCUAUUUAAGCAAACACUGAAACAUCUUUACCAAUAAAGAAAAACCCAAAUAUAUAUGAAAAAAAUUCAACAUGUUUAAAAUAAUUCAUUUUAGCUUUGGGGAUUAAUUUUACUUUUUUUAAGAAAACAAUUCUAAACAUUCAUGACCUGAAAAACCAGUUUGUUACUGAGCUGCUGCCCAUCAUCUACUUAUGACUCCGUCAUCAGAGUUCCCGUCGUGGCUCAGCAGUAACGAACACGACUAGUAUCCCAAGGGGUUUUUAGGUGCGGCCCUAAAACAAACAAACAAAAUCCUAGGGGAAAGUUCAUGUUUGAGAAAGACGUGGUGCAGUAGGUCAAGAAUCCAACCGCAGUGGCUUGAGUCUCCGCAGAGAUGUGGGUUUGAUCCCUGCCUGGCACAGUGUGUUAAAGGAUCUGGCAUUGCUACAGCCCUGGCACAGGUCACAG